rnacentral:rRNA from 1 species
GACGAACGCUGGCGGCGCGCUUAACACAUGCAAGUCGAACGAGAUGCUCGGAGCUUGCUCCGGGCGGACAGUGGCGAACGGGUGAGGAACACGUGAGGAACCUGCCCCGAAGACCGGGAUAACACCGGGAAACCGGUGCUAAUACCGGAUGUCCUCAUCGGAUCGCAUGAUCUGAUGAGGAAAUGGAUUCCGCUUCGGGAUGGUCUCGCGGCCUAUCAGCUUGUUGGUGAGGUAACGGCCCACCAAGGCUUCGACGGGUAGCUGGUCUGAGAGGAUGUCCAGCCACACUGGGACUGAGACACGGCCCAGACUCCUACGGGAGGCAGCAGUGGGGAAUCUUGCACAAUGGGCGAAAGCCUGAUGCAGCGACGCCGCGUGCGGGAUGACGGCCUUCGGGUUGUAAACCGCUUUCAGCAGGGACGAAAAUGACGGUACUC